AGAUUAUUUGAACCUCAAGUCGUGACGGCGACUCGUUUCCGUCAACCGACAGUAUCGUCGCAUCGUCAGGCAUAAAUAGAUCUCCACGAAGGAUAACGAAGACGGAUGUCGCCGAGCGGAAUUGAAGGUAUCGAUGGCGACGCCAGCGACGUGCUGCCGUCUGUGGACAGGACUCGGAAAUCUGACUAGAUGGAGAUUGGUUGUUGUUCGAUGGUUAUCGAGUAUUCCUUCGACUGCAAGUGGAAAUAUACAGCAAUGGUCAGACGUGUAUGGCAACUUCAAGCUGACUGAUGUACUGAUCGUCACUUAUAUGAAUUUAAACUGAGGAGCACACUUUUAACAUCUACCAAGCCUGCAAACAUUAUGUUUUGCCACUUAGUUUAAAAAAGCUCGAGGAUGCAGCUCGAGUAGAAGCGACGGUUACUGGAAUCGCUCGCGAUUAACUCACCGGAAGACGGAGGAGCUUCGCGACCGAGGAACUCUCGUUUUCCCUGUGCCCCGGGCCUUUUCAACAAUUUCCCGCCACUUUCCCUGCCUUCGUCUCUAGUAUGACUAGGCUGUGUAUGGUUUCAACGUUUCGAAACUCUCACCGAUAUUUGGAACCAUCGAGGGACAGUGUUCUCGCGAUUAGGAGCUGAAAUCUGGACUGCAACUGGGUCCUUUGCAAGAACAGACAGUAUCCAAGUGAUCUACGAUGCCUCCAGCCUCCGAAAAUCAGGACUGCAACCGUACUAGCGAGAACACUGUACGACGCUAGCCCAGAGGCAUAAGUUUCUGGAUCAAUUGGACGCUGUCCUCUGUUCUUGCAAAGGCAGGCGUCCUCUCGCAUAAGGGAACGCGACAACGAUGCCUGGCUACUCGAAGUGGCUCCGUAAUUAGUGGGAUCACCCUUUGACCGGGAAUGAAAAGUGGGAAUCACCGAGUCCGCUCGCGAGCGUUAAUUGCGUCCGUUCCCUGUCACCGUUGGCAUCCGGGUUGCGGAAGACUGGCCCCGGGAUCAAACAUGGGGCUAACAAUAGCCGCGUCGCGUCCACCCUGCACGACUCGCGGCGUUUUCAUUCCCGAUCGAUCGAAACCUCGAUCGGAUGCACAGAGGGAAUCGCUCUGCUUUCCAAUUGAACGGCCGGGACGUUGCUCGCGACUUCAGGAACGACCAGCGGGAAGUUCCCGACCCUAAAAUCCGGUGAAACACGCAGAUCCCGUGACUGUGGACCGCGCUUACGAGCUGCUCCGUAUUUCUACCCCUUUGUUAUCCUAGCCUCAUCCUGCCGCGGCUUAAAGCGGCUUAACCGACGUCUCUGUUUCUCCGUCGGACGAUUUUAAUUCGUUGCAAAAACUGGGGGAGAAAGGCGGCCGAAACUCUUGCGUUGGGAAGACGCGCCAGAUUUCAGAGAAUCUUCGUCCGCAAAGGGUUAAUAAAGAAAAUUAGGCAUCCAAAAUAGGUAAAAACAAAGUUCCUCGCGCAGAAUUCUCAAAUCUGUGCUGGCAGUUACUUCGCCAAUAGAGAGCCACUCCUAGUCAGAGUGAAUUUUUGCGUUCCACGGUCGCCUCGAAUCUCUAAAUUAAAUCGGAGCGCAAGAGGCUACAAACCAGUGGUAACCAUCACGGAGAAAAAUAAGCACGGGCUAUUUCGCGUCUCUGUUUCCUUCCUCUCGGCAUUGUUACCGAUCGCGGCUGCUUACGCGAGCAUUUCCGGCGAGUUCUUUGGGCGAAGGCGAUGUCUAGCACCGGAAAACCUGCAGGGUGCCGUACACGUCGAUGCAACGACACGGGUAUUAACAACACUUUGACUGGAGAGUGAACAUUCGGCAAAAUUCCUAUGCGGAGGAAACAGUUUUCUUAACGCUAGAUUUACGGAUAUUUAGUGUUCGUUGUAUCUUAGGAAGAUGGAUAUUUGUUUAGAUUUUGGAAAUAUAAAUAAACGAUUAGAAUGUAUAUUUGCGUAACUGUCAGUCAAAAUUGACUCUGACAUUUUGAAUGUUUAUAGAAUUCAAUGAGUCAACUUGACUCGUUCCGUGAAUCUAGUGUUAAUAAACUAGAAGCUAACAUUGUAAUGUUUAAGUUUCUGUAAAAUAGUGUCACAUGGUAGGUGAAGUGUUAAAGGAUUCCUGAAUGUACUGGUACGAAGUCUGUGUCAGUGUUUCCCAAGAUAGCAGUGCUAAAUGCGUCGCAUUGAUUUUGUAAAUCUGAACUUCCUCUGAGACGGGAGACAACUGCCGACAACCAAUGCUAAAAGGUCCAAUUUAAAUCGUCAACCGCCCUCGUCCCUCGCUGCGUCUCAAAAACCAAAGUCUCCUCUAAAGCCCCGCGGCUCGCAUUCCCUUCUUGGGAACUAGGACGAAAGGAGCGCAUUCCUGUCUGUCGAGAAUGAAAUCCAAGCCUCGUCGCGCGGUUCGCGUGUCAAAGUCCUCGAUCGAGUUCAGCUCGCGGAACCGUGAAUGGAAUCCCAUUAGGAACGGAGCAUCGAGGACACGUUCGUUCAGCGAUCGGCGAUCCGGUUCCGCGCGAGAACGCCGCUGGACGAGGAUCGGCGGGGUUACGUCCGUGACGGAGAUAGAUAAAUAGAUAAGUAGAUGGACGCGGAGGAGGAUGGGGCGACGGAUAACUAGGCCGAGAGGGAACCGAGAGGAAACCGAGAGGAAACCGAGAGGGAACCGAGAGGGAGCCGAGAGGGAGAAAGACAUGGGAAGACAGACUUUCGUAGAGGGUGGAGUUAGAGGGUCGAAGGAAAGAAAACGGGGAACCUUGGGCGUGUACCACAAAUGGUACACGUGGCACGGAACGUGUCGGAGAACGCGGAAGCGAAUGAACGAGGCGGAGCACCCGGUUCCCAGGAAUCUGCGAACCUUCGAGGGACCCUGGGCAGGCGUCGGCGCUUUUGUAUCGACGGUCGAUCGCGCCUGUACCAAAGUUGUUCUCCAUUCUUCCAUUCCGUUUAGCGGGCGACCGCGUACGACUGCAGCGCGCAGCUCGAUUAGCCGGUGAAAUCGAUCGAAGUGGUUCACGCGUGUUCGUCGAUAACACGGGCACGCUCUCGAGGCAUUCGGUUCAUGUUGCGUUGGAGUACUCGACCGAACCUGAGACCCGGCCAUGGUAUUUCCGAUCGAUCAGGCGAGAACCACUCGUCCCCGGCUACUCGAAAAUAUCGGAGGGGGCGUUUUAAGUUUUCAUUUGAAAAAAUCCGGUGACCCGCUCCGGGUAAAGAUCUUUCGCGAGCGCACCGCGUUGACCCCGAUUUCGAGCGUGUUUUCGCCACUUAAUCGUAGCUGCGUGGAAGCCUGAAACGAUAAACUACAGUCAGGCUCGCUGGAAGAAUGGUAGUCCCUUCUUAACGUCGGAGCACCGGCACGGUCAUUUUUCUCCGGGGUUUCGUGAGACGUCACAGGCCUGGGAAAAUCUUCUGGAAACCGUUCCCAGCCGUUUCGCCAUCAUUGCAGCUGGCUUCAGGGGUUAAAGACACAUUGGUUAUGGAAGACCCGACGCGACAUCUGCGCCGCGAACUAUGCUUUCCCGCGCGCACUCGGGCCAGCGGGUGAUGGAUGAUCUCGAGUAAAAGUUGGACACAAGUGCAGACCUGGUGUAUACAGCCGCAGUUCCCGCGGUCGUGUAAUUAAUAGUCCCACAUUUGCAUCCGGCUGAUAUUAUUCUAUGAUCAACGAGUGAAACUCGGCCCGGGUGUAAUUGAACCGCGCGUCCCAUGAAAUUAUUAAUCGAACCGGCACCGAACGAGGAUCAAUGGGGUCCGUGCCGGUGACAGAAACGUGCCGCCCUCGCCGCUGCAUUCUAUAGCCUUCCUUCGCCCGAUUAAAUUCACCUAUCCGACGAAGGAAUGAAAAAUUCAAGGGACGAUUUACGAUCGAUCGCUCUGGCCGCAAGAGGAUUUUGAGGUUAUGUCCUCGACGCUCGACGAAUUCGAAGGUAUAUCGGCCAAGGUCGAUAUCUACGACAGCUGAUCGCCGGGAUAAGCAUCUACCAGAGAUAGCCGAGAGGAAAAUGGAUACGGAGCGAGCAGCUCGCGUCGGUGUUUGGUGUCUACGGCAGCGGCGCCGGCAUCGUUCGCAAACAUGGGACAUUGUGCCUUUCCAGUGGCUGUUUCCUCGAUACGUGUCCAACAGGCGCCGAUAAAGGGCCUGCAGAACCCUUCCUAAACAAAGGGACCAUCCACAUUCAACGGCGGCGCUUUGUCGAUCGUAUCGCAGGCCAGAGUAAACAGAGGUCGUCCCGGAGAAGCCCGAUGCUCUAAAUCUCGAGGCGAACCGCGAACCUCGGACUGGGACAUGCUCUGGGAGCUGGUUCAUCGCAGGAACGGAGGAAUACUCCUCCCCUGGCAUCAUAACCAACAGCGAACUACCAUCGAAAAUCAGAAGAGAAGAGAUGAAAACUGACUAACAAGAGAUUCCUCAGCCACCGAGUGAUCCACGAAUUCUACGUCAACACCGACUGCCUGCCGUCCGACCGCACGUUGACCUAUGCUACCGCGGCCGACAGCUCGCCGAUCUGUACCGCUUCGUUCGUCCCUGCAGAGACUCCAACCGCUUCGUCCGGGGGUGAGCGAGCGAGCGAGCGGGCUCUUCGCUAAUAACUUUCCCGAGGCCUGGAGACGACGACGACGACGCCGCUCUUAAUUUAUUCGCCGUCCGGCCGGCCGAUUAAAACCGGCGGAAAAUUGCGCGCGGAGAGAUAAGGAGCGGUACCGAUGCUAUCAAACGGGACACAAUUUCUCUCGCGGCGGUCUCAUCGCCGCGCCGGGGAUUUCAAUUUAAUGAAGACGCCUCGCGCGACGAAGCGUCGCGAUUCAUCGGGCGAAAUACUCCCUGGAUCGGUGGGAAGAGGACGUGCUCCCGAUUUUUACGGAAGAAGAUGGAGAAUCAAAGGGAAUGGAGUAUCGUUUUGGGAACGGUGUGGGGGAAGCUUUAUGGUCGCUGCAGUACCGAUAGUGGCGUUACCGACUGCGGUGCUGUUCGAUCUGAUUAUCGACCGAUCUUCGGGCUGCCCCUGGGGUAGGCAAUGUGCUGCACUCGCGUGCGCCGUGGAGGAUCGUGAUAUAUUUGAAAUCUUAUUGAUAAUUGAUUAUUUUGAGGUAGUGAAGGAUUAGAAUUGUUUCAAUGGUAACGUAAAUGUUGAAGA